AGAAAUUUUAUUUUGGCCAGGAGCUGAAGUUGGUUGUUUAGUAGUAGUAGUUUGAGUAGUGACCGAAGUAGUAGUCUGGUGUGUGGGUGCAAGAGUAGUUGGGGAAGAAUUAGGUGUGGGUGGGGCAGCUGUGGUCUCUGGUGGAGCUGAGGCGGAUGAUGGGUCUAGGGUAGUUGCAGAAGGUGUGGGUGGGGCAGCUGUGGUCUCUGGUGGAGCUGAGGAAGAUGGUGGAGCUGGUGUAGUUGCAGGAGGUGUGGGUGGGGCAGCUGUGGUCUCUGGUGGAGCUGAGGAAGAUGGUGGAGCUUGUGUAGUUGCAGAAGGUGUGGGUGGGGCAGCUGUGGUGUCUUGUGGAGCUGGGGAAUUCACUGGUGCUAAUGUAGCUACAGAAGAGCUUGUGUUAACAUUUUCUCUUGAAGAUAUGGUGGUGGCAUUCUGGGGAAGAAAAGUCACAUUUGGAAGGGUAGUAAUUUUGGUGGCUGGUGGAAGCUUAGGCCUACAGCGUUUGUGCAGACAUUUAUAGGACUUUCUAAUGAACGGCUUCUGGUGAGCUAGCAG
rnacentral:lncRNA from 1 species